CAUAGUUCAGUCGGUAGAACGGCGGACUGUUAAUCCGUAUGUCACUGGUUCGAGUCCAGUCA
rnacentral:tRNA from 1 species